rnacentral:lncRNA from 15 species
AUGCCCUUUUUUGCCCUCACUCAUCAACUCACUCACAGCUAUGUACCAGUCCUCUUGCUCCUGCUCGUUUUCCGCCACAAUGGCAAAGUACUCGUCCUUAGUAUAAAGGGCAAUGAGGUGUUUGUUUUUGGAAUCCGCCCUUUUGUUUACCGUGAAGCACUGGUAGAGGUAAAUAACCCUCUUCGGGGGAGAAGGGGCGACCGCUCCACCGCUGGCGGCGGAGCGCAGGCUGUUCCUGAAUUUCUUCUCGCUGUCGUAGUACUCCAGGCGGCUCGGCCCGAGGUGGCUGGCAGCCCGGAGCACGAAAAACCUCUUGUGUCCGUGUUUCUGCUUCCUCAAAUAGCCACAUUUACGAAUAUCAUCCACAGCGUCCGAGGCGUUGGCGACGCUCACCGCCGCGUAUACAUGGCUGCCGCUGCCGCCGCUGCCGCUGCUGCCGGCGGAGGAGGCGGCGGCGGCGGCGGAGGAAGCGGCGGGGUCCUCGGCGGCGUGUACCUGGCUGAGAGACGAGGAGGAGGAGGCUUUCCUGCCCGGAGACUCCGCGAUGUUUUCUCCGGAAAGAUGCUGCGGAGCCAGCUGAUUAAAAGCUUCUUUAGAUCUUUUAACCCUAAGGAUACAAACAGCUCCCCCGAACGUUGGACCUCUUGUCUGCAGGGCCCUGAGGUUUACUAAAACACAUUUCUGCUCCAGUCAUGUGAGAACCCACUGGUGAAUUUGGGUGCUGGCCAACCACAGUGUCAGCAAGGGUCAAGCCAGCUGAGGUGACCUCACACGGCCUGCAUCCAUCCUCUUUGGCUAAAACCAAACCCCCCCCCCCCCACCGCUUUGGCACAAGGGAUGGAUUCAGAUCAAAAUCCAGGUUUGUUUACACCCUGCCAUCUACGGGCAUCUGCCACCCAACAGGACUCCCUCUUAUUUCCAAGCGUGAUAUUAAGUUUUUUUAAACUUCGUGUGUCACUAAACACUAAUUAAGAGAGCAUGCAUGUGCGACAGCCGAGAUUCAAGCCCCAGCUGUGUUUUCCAUGGGAACCUAGAUGGAGUAAUUGAGGAGGACUCCCCCCUCUGCCCAGGGGAGGUAUCUAUGUUCUUCCACGCCUCGGAGAAUGCCACGCUCGGCUUCCCGAGCCUCUACUACAUGUCGCAUGCAACAAUUUGCUGGACCCUUUUAUCCCAAACACCUUUCCGUAUCAUGAGUGGGAUCAUGUGUAGUGCAGCUGGCCCCAGUGGGAAUCAUACCCUUCACCCUGGCAGAGUUUGUGCCAUGUUUUACUAGUGGAGAUAUGCAGGAACCACCUGUCUGUGUCUGCCUCUGAAUCUGUCCCCUUAAAGGUGAAAAACAAUCAGUCGUUGCACAUUUGAUCCACCACAAACGGUAUAUUCUCUCCAACUCUUAUAAUUAUACCCUUGUUUUACAAUUAUACAUUGUUAUAUGAAAGGAAUAACUUUUGGGGGAAAUAUGUUUUCUUGCAGGAGUUACAUGAGAAAGAGAGUUUAAAUUUAGUUAGUGGGACAAAACAAUCCCUCAAUUGGCUCAUAUUUAGCCUACAUGUUUUAUCGUAACCUACCCAAACGACUGAAUAAGUUGAUUGCCAAUGACUCCUAAAACAAUUUAUGACCAUUCCCAAACAUGUUGGAGAGUACCAGUGACAGACGUACUGGACCUUUGACCUUUGUUGUACCGGACCUCCGUGGUCACUGGUCAACACAGUUGCAUCUUUGUUAAGUCUAAGCACAACAAAACUACUUGGUUAGGUUUAGAAAAAAGUUCAUGGUUUGGAUUACAAUAAGUACAUAUUACGUAACUUAAGUCAGGCCAUGUAUGUGACCUAAGGUAAGUAAGUGAUAUAAUAGGUAAACAUGAACUUUUGGUUUGAUACAGGACAAGAACAGCAGCCUCUAAUGAAAGCCUGGGUUAACUAGUUUAGCUUUAGCUUAAAUCCAGACAACUCUUAACAUCUCAGACACAUCCGCAAGUUGGUCAGCUGUUCCAGUAAGCUGGUUUUGUGCUCAUUGGUGGUUAUUUCAGCGGACUGAAGAAACAGUCGAUCAAUCAUAGACAGGAUUAAGAAUGGAGACGCCAUCUUCCUAAAAAAGAGACUGAAAAUAACUGCGCCCAACAUUGCUUAUUUGGGGGCUUCUUAUGUGAACAUAUAUUAAAUUAAUUAGCUUUAUUGGCUGCAAAAAGGUGAAAACUGUUAUCAAAGCAUCGUCCUUUGACCCUCCUCCAUUAGCCUCUCUCGCUCUCUUUCUCUCUCUCUCUCACUCUUUCACCUCUUUAACCUUCUGUUACGGAAAAAAUGGACAGCAUUGUGACAGCCGGAAUACCAGCCUCCAAUCUCUCCCACAAUGACGACUAGCUACCAGUCGAGCCGACAGGCAACCCAACUCUCCCACGGGGAAGUAUCAGCUGCUUUUCAAAGGAAGCCCGGUUCUGAUAACCUCCGUCUGGCGUGAGACCAGUCAGACCCACGAAAGCCCCUCAACCUUUCAUCCUUUCAUGUGCUAACUCAGCUGCUGUAAAAAAAAAAAAACAACAACAACCGAAUGUAUCUCGACCUCUCACCCUCUUUUUGUCUCGUUUUUUAAUAUUAAAGGAGGAUUUUUAGAUUCUGCUCGUACAUGAAGUUCUUCGGCAUCUCAAAUUCUGUUGCUUAAGGUUGAAAUAUUAUUUAUUUAUUUAUAUAUUUUACUGUUACAGUCACACCACCAUGCGUCACUGCUGAGUAAUCUUCCAAAUAAUAGGCGUGGUUGAGUCAAGCACUACACUUUUGAGUAAAACAAGCUGUUUUGGGAUGAUUUCAUGAUAAUUUAGACCCUGAUUUCAUCCAUCUAAGAGUGCUGUGUGACUGUGCAGGCUUCACAUUAAGAGACUGUGCAUGUUCAAGUGUGUGUUUGCAUGUGUUUAAGUGUGUGCGUCAGACCCAGUGUCAGUCAAACGAGGAAACCAGCUUGAAGGCUUAAUAAUGCAAAUUUUGCCCUCAGGUCAUUUAUUUGGUUGAUGUGCUUUGGGCAAUGAUUGACGUCAGUUGUCUGAGUCUGUAGACACGCAGGAAGGAAGUUUACUGUAAUGUGUAUUCAUUUAUUCACAAACAGCCUGUGUGUAAACUUUAGCUGAUUUAGGGUUUGAUAUAAUAAGACGGGAGGAAGAAUGUGUAAUUUUUCUUUGUAUCUGGUUUUAAUUUAAAAGACCUAAACAUGCCAGACCAUCAGCAGCUUUUUAUAUAAAGUUAUUCUUAAUGGAUUCCCUUUGUAAUCAAUGAAAGAAGUCGGUGGAAGCACUAUCGCUUUUGUCCACAGGGGCCGCCAGAAUCAUCACAAAUUUAAAGUUCCUUAUUGGUGAUUAAAGCAACAUAAAAUAACAGUUGCAGGUUAACAAAGUUUGGUUAUAUUACAUUGAAAUGAAUUAGUUUGUUGCUUCAAUAUGUGUAUUCUAAUAUAAAUACUACUUGAUAUACUUCUCACUAUACCACAAUUUAAGACAAAGCUAACACAACAUGUUAUUUUAAUUAAAUUUCAAGCACAACAAAGGUCUCUUUUCUCUGAGUUUCUCAUAAUGUAUUUGUGUUUUAUUGCUUUAAAGCUGUAUAGACUCAUACAUAUGUAUUGUUAUGUGGUGUGUGCUAAUUUAAUUUAAAUCCUUCGGGGAAUAAUCUACACUAUAAAGUCAGAGUAUGAGGAAUGGGGUGUUAAUUGGGUGUUAAUUUUGCCCUGCGGCCCUCUAGCAGGCUCAUAUAGAAUAAAAUUGUGAUUAAUUGUAGAUUAUAAUUUGCUGCUUGUGUCAUUUAUCUAGUUAAUGCCUCCUUUUUUCUACCAUCUUUAUGCCCCAUCUCAUGAUUUAACUUGAAUCUCAAUACCCUCCUCUCGCCUCUCUUCUCCCUGACAGUUACCAGGUCAGAGCGCCCUCUGCUGGCCAGGACGGUUCCCUACAGUAAAUCUUCUGCUGCUAUUGUACUUGCAACAAAGGAGCAGAGCCAACAAAGCUGAAACACACACACACAGGAAACACAAAGGAAAGCAUGCUUCCCUUUGUUACAGACUCAGUCUGUUAUUUUAGAACAAGCACAGUUGCGACACUGCUGCUGCUGUUGACAAUGCAAUUUAAACAGACUGACAGGAUAUUUAUACAACUGAACUGAUUCAUACGUAUCAAUCUAAGUUUGACGUGGAUUGUAGUAUAUUUUCUGAAGGUAUAACAAGUAUUUGUGAUGUAUUUUAUGCAUUCAGAAGUAGUUGUGGUAAGCUGAAACCACUGAAGUUGUAAUAUGUGACUUAAACGGCAGUUUUCUUACAGUAAAUGUAUUUAAAAUUUAAACUUUCCAUCAAUUUAGGGAUUAUUUUGGCUGAAGAAACAUGUUCUUUCCUCUCUCCGUGAUAGAGAGUUCAAAACAAAUACAUAAGAAAUAUAUUAAAAGUGUGGAUUCAACACUGUAAUUGUGCAAAAAAACAAAUAAACUUUGCAGUCUAUUGUUGGAUAAAUCACCAGCAAAUAUUGGACCAAACAAAAAAGAG